rnacentral:lncRNA from 1 species
AAUCACAUCAGAAGCAGCAAAGACUCCCACGGGUGAUCUCAACGUGCAGCCACUGCCGAGAACCACAGAGCUAGGCCCUUGAGAAGAUUCAGCCAAACUGCAGGAGUUCAAACAAGAAACAACCCACCCCUCAGGUCUAGACCUGCCAGGGCGCAUCCCAACUGGCUCCAGGUCCUAAGUCAUUGCACCUCGUUCUCAGAGGAGCAGAGAUUCCUCAGAGCCUCCAAGUCAGCAACAAGAUUAGCCCUGAGCUAACUACUGGGCAAUCCUCCUCUUUUUGCUGAGGAAAACUGGCCCUGAGCUAACAUCCGUGCCCAUUUCCUCCACUUUAUACAUGGGACGCCUGCCACAGCGUGGCUUUCGUCAAGCGGUGCCAUGUCCACACCCGGGAUCCGGGCCAGCAAACCCCAGGCCACCGAGAAGUGGAACAUGCGAACUUAACUGCUGCACCACCAGGCAGGCCCACCAUGUCCAUUCUUGAUUAGGUCCUCAAUGCUCCGGGCAUUCUCCUAGGCAUCCUGAAUGCAUUAGAUACACACAAUUGGCCAAUGGAAAGGAAACAUCUGGAACUGUCACUGAUUAAAUUGACUUGAAACAUUGCCCCUUCCAGCUGUUAUGAAUAUCUCUAGUGGGACAAGCACCAUUAAAACGGAAGGCUAGGUAAUCAUUUCAUAACAU